GACGUAGGGUGCAAGCGUUGUCCGGAUUUACUGGGCGUAAAGAGCGCGUAGGCGGCUCGUUAAGUGUGAAGCUAAAUCUCUUGGCUCAACCAAGAACUAUUUCGCAUACUGGCGGGCUGGAGUGAUGCAGAGGUGGAUAGAAUUCCCGGUGUAGCGGUGAAAUGCGUUGAUAUCGGGAGGAAUACCCGUGGCGAAGGCGGUCCACUGGGCAUCAACUGGACGCUGAGGCGCGAAAGCGUGGGUAGCAAACAGGG
rnacentral:rRNA from 1 species